rnacentral:rRNA from 1 species
AACGUUGGCGGCGUGCUUAAUACAUGCAACCAACUGAAGCACCGGUAGUAAUACUGGUGUGGAGGUGGCGCACGGGUGAGUAACACGUAGGUAAUCCUGCCUUCAGGUCUGACAUAACCCCGAGAAAUCGGGGCUAAUAGCAGAUGAUGCAGCGGCUUGACAUCAAGACAGUUGUUAAAGCUUCGGCGCCUGAAGAUGAGCCUGCGUCUGAUUAGCUAGUUGGCGGAGUAAUAGCCCACCAAGGCGACGAUCAGUAGCUGGUCUGAGAGGAUGAUCAGCCACACUGGAACUGAGACACGGUCCAGACUCCUACGGGAGGCAGCAGUAAGGAAUAUUGCUCAAUGGGAGAAAUCCUGAAGCAGCAACGCCGCGUGAGGGAUGAAGGGCUUUUGCUCGUAAACCUCUGUAGUGAGGGAAAAAUUUCCAUUCUAUGGAAUAUGAUGGUAACUCAAAAGUAAGCCCCGGCUAACUACGUG